AGAAACUUAGGAUAACUGAACUUUAAACCGAAGGCCUUCAAAGCCUUAAAUAAGAGUUAAAACUCUCUUAGUUUCUG
rnacentral:tRNA from 1 species